ACAAGGUCUCCGUUGGUGAACCAGCGGAGGGAUCAUUAUAGAGUUUUUAACUCCCAACCCAUGUGAACUUACCAUUGUUGCCUCGGCGGAGCUUACCCUGUAGCUACCCUAUAAGGUGGUUACCCUGUAACGCCCCGCCGGUGGAUUUCAAACUCUUGUUUUUUAAUGUAAUCUGAGAGUCUUAUUUUAAAUAAGUCAAAACUUUCAACAACGGAUCUCUUGGUUCUGGCAUCGAUGAAGAACGCAGCGAAAUGCGAUAAGUAAUGUGAAUUGCAGAAUUCAGUGAAUCAUCGAAUCUUUGAACGCACAUUGCGCCCAUCAGUAUUCUGGUGGGCAUGCCUGUUCGAGCGUCAUUUCAACCCUUAAGCCUAGCUUAGUGUUGGGAAUCUACGUCUGGGUGCCGCCUUGCGCGGCUACCCUGUAGUUCCUGAAAAUCAACGGCGGAUUUAUAGUAUCCUCUGAGCGUAGUAAUUUUUUAUCUCGCUUUUGUUUAGGUGCUGUAACUCUUGCCGUUAAACCCCCAAUUUUUAAUGGUG
rnacentral:rRNA from 1 species